CUCCAUCUCAAAAAAAAAAAAAUAAAAAUAAAAAUAAAAGUAAUUACCUCUGUAUACUCAACAACGCUGUCUAUUUUGUCCAGAUUACAAAGGUCUGCUCUCCCAUUGGAGGGCAUUCUCUGCCAUAGUGCAAAGGCCCAAGUACUAGCCUAUUUCAUAUGCCACGUUCUCAAACACGGCUUUCCACAAGAACUUCCUCUAAGCAACUGUUCCAAUAUGACAAGUCCUGCAUAAAGCAUUGGUAAAAAGUAUUUUGUUACUCUAUACAAAUUAUUCUCACUUAGUCUAGUUAAGUGAAAACUUAAUCUUUACCUUUAUUUUUCCAACUUAAAGGAAUAUCAGAAUAUUUUGUCUUCAAGCAAGCUUUAAAUUAUUAAUUUAAUAACUCUAAUCUUCUUGAAUCUAUUCCAAGUUAAUACAGUAUUGGUUAUGCAUAAUUCUGCUAACCGAUCAACAAAUAUUGAUGAAAGAUAGAUGAAAAAGUAUUUUAUGUUUUUUUCUAAUUAAAAUCAAUGGAGAAUUAUACUUAUCAGUAAGAGAAUAAUAAGUCCUAAAACUUUUUUGUCCCUUAAAAGAUAUAUAGGUUGCAUGACACAUUGAUACUAUUUGUUUAAAAACAAAUGGUAUACACUGUUAAUUAAAUGCUAGCAGAAUCAUUUUUCAAAAAUAAACAUAUACUUUGACCCCAUGCUGGAAAAACCUAUACUUGUAGACUUAUUUAAAAUAUAAGGCUAAACUUUGAAGGCAAUAAAUCAGAAAAUCUUUAAAUAUAAAUAUUAGAUACACCUUUAUGAUUUCUGCAGUUUUGGUGUUGGGAGGGGCAGAUAAUCAGCUAUUUGAGCCUUCACAGGGUUACUUAAUGCCUGCUUUAAUAACUCAAAUCAUAAUGAAAAUUUAUGUUUCCAUGUGGUCCAUUUUGACACAGACCAAAUCAUCACACUGAGAUAUAUCAUGGCAUGAAUGUUUUGAGAAUAAAUUUUUAAAAAUACCUAAUUUGUAUUGAGCUAAAUUUCAUUUGUAAUGUUGCUUUCAUAAUUUAUUUGGCAUUUAUUUUCUGACGAUAUUUAUUGAGUAGGAAUACCAUUGUGAGUAGUUGAGAUGUAGCCAGCAUCUUUCCCUUUAUUCUUCUCAAUAACCUUGCUUCCUCUUGUGAACUAAUAUCUUACACACACACACACACAAAACAGGCUUUGCCUUUUUACAUGGGUGAAGCAUGAAACCUGACUUACAUCCAUCAGCCCAGUAUACUCCUUUAUCAAAUGACUUUACUAAAGGUAACUCCCAUUGUCUUGGGAAUUUUAGAAAUUAGUUUUUUUCUCUUUCUCUCCAUCACAGGGUUAAAGAAACAAAGCCUAGAAUAGCUUUCAUUAUUUGCUGCCAUGAAGAACAUAAAGCUAAGGGGUUAGAGCCAAGAAAAAUCCUAGGGAAACUGAUCUAAAUCCUAAUCACAUCUAUUGCUAAGCCAAAUUUAACUCUUGGCAUUGUUAAUCAUGUAACAUAAUAAUUUUUCUGUAAUUUAUUUUUCCAGUUUGAGUCAGAUCUGCACUUAUUUGUAAAGAAGUAUACAAUAUAUAGGGCAUUUCUUACCAGGAGUGGGGUUACAGGUAAUGGGCUAGAAUGGUUUUAAAAAAAGAACUCUCUGUCAUACGAGAAGGUAAAAAUCUUUGUUUUUCAGUUGCAUAAAGUUGGUUUACUUUGGACCUUACAACAUGUGCUACCAAUAUUACAGUAUUCAGUAACUGAAAACAAAAAUAGGUUUUGCAUAUAUGGAGGAAUUGUGAAUUGAAGUUUCCCAAGACUUCACGUAGGAUUUGGAAACUUUCAAGACUGGAACAGCCAGAAAGUAGAAUCCUCAUUGAACACUUGCAACAUUCAGACAAGAUCCAAGGAAAGCUACACUGUUUUAAAUGCAUGGAGUCAUGGGAGAAGUCCAUGUGAAGAAGAAGCAGAGAUUGGAAUGAUGUAUUUACAAGCCAAG
rnacentral:lncRNA from 1 species